CCCUUAGAUGUUCUGGGCCGCACGCGCGCUACACUGAUGCAUUCAACGAGUUUCUUCCUGGUCCGAGAGGAAUGGGUAACCUUUUGAAAGUGCAUCGUUAUAGGGAUAGACUAUUGCAAUUAUUGGUCUUCAACGAGGAAUUCCUAGUAGACGUAGUUCAUCAGACUGCAUCGAUUACGUCCCUGCCCUUUGUACACACCGCCCGUCGCUCCUACCGAUUGAAUGCUCAGGUGAGCCAUUCGGACUUUCAUCAUGCUGGUUUCCAGUUUUGAUGAAGGAAAGUCUUGCGAACCUUAUCAUUUAGAGGAAGGAGAAGUCGUAACA
rnacentral:rRNA from 1 species